UACAGAGGGUGCGAGCGUUACUCGGAAUUACUGGGCGUAAAGCGUGCGUAGCCGGUUAUUUAAGUCGGGCGUGAAAGCCCCGGGCUCAACCUGGGAAUUGCAUUCGAGACUGAAUAGCUAGGGUACGGUAGAGGGAAGCGGAAUUUCCGGUGUAGCGGUGAAAUGCGUAGAUAUCGGAAGGAACAUCAGUGGCGAAAGCGGCUUCCUGGACCAGUACCGACGUUCAGGCACGAAAGCGUGGGGAGCAAACAGG
rnacentral:rRNA from 1 species